rnacentral:rRNA from 1 species
AUGCAUGUUGGUACAACUAUGGAAUCAAAUGAUGCAACUUUCUUUGAGGACAUAUUUCCUAUGAAGGAUAUGUCGAGUUCAUCAAAUCAGGAGAUACCUACUCCAUCUAGUGAGGAAUUCACUGUAAUUCCUGAACCGACCAUUGCGAUGGAACACGUUGAGAAUCCUGUUGAAGGUAACAAUGGAACUCCUAUGAGGAGUAAGAGAAAGAGGACUGCAAAGUCUUUUGGUGAUGAUUUCAUUGUGUACCUCGUGGAUGACACACCCAGGACUAUUUCAGACGCCUAUGCAUCUCCUGAUGCUGACUACUGGAAGGAAGCUGUACGUAGCGAGAUGGAUUCCAUCUUAGCUAACGGUACCUGGGAGAUCACUGACCGUCCUUAUGGGUGCAAACCUGUAGGAUGUAAGUGGGUGUUCAAGAAGAAGCUUAGACCUGAUGGUACGAUUGAAAAGUACAAGGCACGACUUGUGGCCAAGGGUUAUACCCAGAAAGAAGGUGAAGACUUCUUUGAUACUUACUCACCCGUGGCUAGACUGACCACAAUUUGGGUGCUACUAUCACUGGCUGCCUCACAUGGUCUUCUCGUUUAUCAAAUGGACGUUAAGACGGCUUUCCUCAAUGGAGAGUUGAAGGAGGAAAUUUACAUGGAUCAGCCAGAUGGUUUUGUAGUACCUGGUCAAGAAGGAAAGGUGUGCAAGUUAUUAAAGUCUUUAUAUGGCCUUAAACAAGCUCCUAAGGAGUGGCAUGAGAAGUUCGAAAGAACAUUAACCGCUGUCGGCUUUGUAGUAAACGAUGGUGACAAGUGCGUGUACUAUCGCUAUGGUGGGGGCGAAGGAGUUAUUCUUUGUCUAUAUGUCGACGACAUAUUAAUCUUUGGAACCAAACUUGAUUUAAUCAAGGAGGUUAAGGAUUUCUUAUCUCGCUGUUUUGAGAUGAAGGAUCUAGGAGUAGCUGAUGUUAUCUUAAACAUCAAGCUGUUGAGAGAUGAGAAUGGUGGGAUCACACUGCUUCAGUCUCAUUAUGUGGAAAAGGUCUUGAGUCGUUUUGAGUAUAGCGACUGCAUGCCUUCUCCAACUCCAUAUGAUGCUAGUGUGUUUCUUCCAAAGAAUCGACGGAUUUCUAGAGAUCAACUGAGGUAUUCUCAGAUUAUUGGCUCGCUUAUGUAUUUGGCGAGUGCCACGAGGCCAGACAUCUCUUUUGCUGUGAGCAAGCUGAGUCGGUUUGUGUCAAAACCGGGAGAUGAUCAUUGGCAUGCGCUUGAGAGAGUUAUGCGCUAUUUGAUAGGCACCGCGAGCUAUAGGAUUCACUACACCGGGUAUCCAAGGGUACUGGAGGGUUAUAGUGACUCAAACUGGAUAUCUGAUGCUGAUGAGAUUAAGGACACAACUGGUUAUGUUUUUACACUUGGUGGUGGUGCUGUUUCCUCAAGGCAUGUGAAGAGGAGACUAAAAUCUGUUAGAAAAUUGAGGAACUCCGGAGUUAUUACGUUGGAUUAUAUCCAAACGUCGAAAAACUUGGCAGAUCCCUUCACAAAGGGUCUAUCACGUAAUGUGAUAGAUAAUGCAUCGAUGGAGAUGGGUUUGAGACCCACCGCAUGA